ensembl:lncRNA
GGGAGGCCUAUAUUCCGGUCAACUAUGUCCAUGCAGCAGUUUCAUAUCCUCUCAAGAGUUAUCAGAUUUGAUGACAGAGCUACACGACCUUUCCGCUGGCGAGACGACAAACUGGCUGCCAUCAGGAACGUUUGGGACAGGUGGGUGGAGCACCUACCACUGAUGUACAACCCAGGCCCUGAGGUGACAGGUGGGUGGAGCGCCUACCACUGAUGUACAACCCAGGCCCUGAGGUGACUGUGGACGAGCGCCUGGUCCCAUACAGAGGUCGCCGUCCAUUCAAACAGUACAUCCCAAGCAAACCAGGCAAGUAUGGGAUCAAGAUCUGGGCAGCAUGUGAUGCCAGGAGCAGCUACGCCUGGAACAUGCAGGUUUACUCAGUGAAACCUGUUACUGGAAGGCCAGAAAAAAAACAAGGCAUACGUGUUGUGUUGGACAUGACAGCCGGUCUCAAGGGGCAUAACAUCACAUGCGAUAACUUUUUCACAUCUAUGUGGUGUGGACAGCGAUUGACCCAGCCUGGAAUAAGGGGAAAUGUUUCAAGAGGAGGCUCUUCCCGGCAGAGCUUGCGAAAGCUUUAGUGACUCCUCUAAUUCAACGGCCCCAGCACCUUCCCCGCAC